rnacentral:lncRNA from 1 species
AAAUAAAUAUUUAAAUAAUUAAAAAUAAAAAAAAUAAAAAUAAAUUUUUUACUUUUUCUCGAAUUAUACUAUUUAAAAAUUCAAACCUUAAACCCUAAAACUCGACUCUAAACCCUAAACCAUCAAUCCUAAACCCUAUUUUUUUUGAAAUAUGAACCCUAAACCCUAAACCAUAAAUCUUAAACCUUUUUUUUAAUACGAACCCUAAACCAUGAUACAUCAACUCUAAACUCUAAAGCCCGAAACAUCAACUUUAAACCCUAAACCGUAAACCUUCAACUCUAAACCCUAAAACAUCAACUCUAAACCAUAAACCCUAAACUUCAACUCUAAACCCUAAACCAUCAACACUAAACCCUAAACUAUCAACACUAAACCCUAAACCCUAAAAAGUAAACUCUAAACCCUAACCCUAAAAAAUUAACCUUAAACCCUAUAAUAUCAACUCUAAACUCUAAACCCUAAACCAUUAACCCUAAACCCUAAAACCCU